ensembl:lncRNA
GGAGGGACAGACAGUAAUUUGAACAAUUGAACAGCCCUAGGGCAUCCCCGAAAGUUUCCUUUCCCUCUUCCACUGCCAAAGUUUCCCAGCUUGUUAAGUGAGGAAAUGAAACCCCUCCGAACUUUACAAGUGCUUUUAACAAGGGCGGUGUGAUCAGGUCAAAACAAUAAGAAGGCGGAAUCAUGCAGGACGCUGUGGGAGCACAGAGAGGAAGCAUCCUUGGCCCACAGAGUAGGUAUGAGCGCUGAGUGAGUAUUUCCAGAGAGGGAGAGAGAGAGAGAGAAAGAGAGAGAGAGAGAGAGAGAGAGAGAGAGAGCGCUUGAAGAAUGAGUAAGAGUAGAGGGUGGGGGCGUAGGUGCCCUGAGUGUUCAAGCUGAGGGAAAGGCGUGAGCGAGCAUGGAGGCUUGAAAUAGCAUGGCAGAACCAAGCCUGGCCACCCAGGCAGCGCCGGCUACCGAGGAGGACCAUGUACGUCCACCCAAGCUUGACGUCAUCCUGCAUGCAGUUCUAAGCCAACAGAGGUUUGGUACUUUUGAGCAUGGUGUCUCUGGAUCUUGGCGUGGUGUUGGCAGGCUGGAGGCCAGUGAGGAAGAGGCAAGCACCCAGAAAAGUGAAGCAUGCAAGCAAGGGCACGGGCAGGAGGGAAAAGGAAGAAGCAGCAGCAUCAGUAGGGCUUGGUGAGUGGGUGGAGACCAGAGAGAUGGGAGAGUCCGGGCUACCUCUUGAGGUCCCUGCUGCAAACACUGUUUUGCUUUGUUUUUCUCUUCUGUGGAGAGACUGAACGCCAGGGAGAAGGCGGCUACCAGGAGAACAGAAGGGAAAGGCAGAUUUUCUUUCUUUCUUUCUUUCUUUCUUUCUUUCUUUCUUUCUUUCUUUCUUUCUUUCUUUCAAAACAGCCAAAUAGAGCUGUUAGGCGCCACUUAGACUGAGAAGCCUCCUGAUUGGUGAUUCGGCAGCUCCUUGCAGCUUUCAAACUCAGGCAGCAUCCUGCAGCCUCUAGAGGACUUAAUUCAAUUCAACAAAUGCUAUUGAGCACCUACUCCUAACGGGGAGAGGGAAGGGGGAGUUCCAACAAUUACCGACUACUUAAAUUAUAUUAGCAGAGUGUUAAAUGCAUUUACACGUAAUUUCAUCUCCAGUCACAGCUGCCUCAAGAGCCUGUCAUUUACCUGCAGGGAUCUAAGAGGUCAAGUGACUUGUCCUCUCAGUGUGAAGGGUAGAGCCAGGAUGCAGCCAGGAGUUUGAAGCUUCCCUCUCUCUAAGACUAGUCGUUCCACAACAAAUUCAGACAGUUGCAAGUGACUGCUGUAUAAACUAUUUUAAGCAAAACGGGGAAUGCAUUGGCUUACUUAACUAGAAAGCACAGUCAGCUGACUCCAGGCUUGCCCAGAGCCAGGUACUCCUACCAUGCUGUCAGUUCUCACACUUGCUCAUGAGUAUAAACCCUUCAGCUUCCUUAAUGUUCAUCUCGGCUUAUAAGGCAGCACAGCUUGACAGCUUUGGAAUCCCACAGCCUGAGUUCAAAUCUUGGCUCCAGCAACCUACAUAGGUGGGUGGUGUUAAACCCAUUGCUUAACUCUUGAUUCUCCUGUUUGAUUUUCUUCAUCCCUUGGUUGGAGCCAGCACUUCUCUUGGGAUUCAAUCCUGGGGCCCAGGGGUCAUUUCUCACCUUGUAAAGUGGGGAGAAAUCUCGAAUUCUCACCCUGCAACAAUUCAGGGUUUCCUGCAUGCUAGGCAACCCCCCUCCCCCACUGUGUCCCUUUCUGUGAGGUGGCAUCCAUAAUUAGUUCACCUCAGAGGGCCCUGUGGGGAGUCAAGAUUCUCCACACCAAGUGUUUGUAAUAUGGCCUGGCCUGAAGUCAGCACCCAAUAUGUCAACUAUGUCAACUAUGAUUCUUUCUAACCCUGAACUGUUUAGGGUGGGUUUAUUCCCUUCCAUUAGGCGGCCCUUCCUCCAUGUAGAGAGAGAUGGACAGAACUCCCUGGCUACAACAUCCUUAUAGCUUCCAGACUCAGAAGAAAGACUUCUCUCUGUGUACACAAAUGUAGCAAAUCUCCACCCCAACUAGUCAGUUCUGGGUAAGUAUGUGCUUGUCCCUGCAACCCUCUCUGAAGUCAGAGGAUGGAGAAUUCCCACUAACCAGCCUCCCGCAGCACCACAAUUCACAGCUCCAUUGGGUCAUAGCGAAGGAAGAGAAUUCCUUAAAGAUGAGCUAUGCUGGUUGUGAAGGAUGGCACAGGCCUGUAAUCCCAGCUACUUAGGGGCUGAGGCACGGGGAUCCAGAAUUCUUGGAAAGCCUAGGAUAUAUAGCAAAGCUCUGUCUCAAAGUGGGGUUGGGUUCAGGAUGCUGUGAAGAUGAAAUAACACUUGCUCACCACUCUGUGUUAGGGAGUGUUAUAAACAUGUAACAGGAAGUGAGGGAGGCGGGGCUUCCUGUCUGUGAAAAUGUUAAUUAAACAAGAGAAGAUGAGGACAGGUCACAUUUGACUAGAAGCUACAGUCAGUGGGACAUAUACCUAAGGGUUUCCCUGUGGCUUUGGAGGCUGUCCUGGAACUAGCUCUUGCAGACCAGCCUGGCCUCGAACUCACAGAGAUCCGCCUGCUUCUGCCUCCCGAUUAAAGGUGUGCACCACCAAUGCCCGACCUUAUUACAGUUUUUUGAGACACGCUUUUUUCAAGCUGUCCAGGAACUUGCUCUGUGGACCUGUCUAUCCUCAAACUCAGAGAUCCACCUGCCUCUGCCUCCCAAGUGCUGGGAUUAAAGUGCUGGGGGUCUAAUUCACUUCAGUGUCCUAGAGAAGUAUCCCACCACUGAGCUACAUUCUGACCUCUAAGGUGAAAUUCAACACAUACAACAUUUGGCGUCUGGACACCUCGAGCACAGCUCCUGAGUCUCCAUCCUUUUCAAUGACGGGCCUUCCUACCUGUGAUCCAGCUACCCAGUCAACCUACUGCCACUCCUGUCACCACCACGACCUUGUGAUCUCACUCCUGAUUUUAGCAAGAAGUGACCCAUCCUCCUGGGGCUCCUCUGUAGCUCACUCGCCAUCCCUGAAGACCCUCCCCCAGCCUUCCCUGCCUGCCUUCAGCACCACUCCCACUUCUCAAGUCUGGUGUUUUAUCUCCCUUUGGAGUGUUUGGAAACUUGCCUGGGUUAGAGCAGCGGCUCUCUCUCACACACACAGCCCUUGUCUGACCUGUCUCACUACACAGACAAACUGAAUUAUUCAUCAGUAGGAGCGAGAGCUGCUAAAACCACCAGCCAGGGUCUGGUGAGGAUGCUUCUGUGCCUCUUUUUGAUGCAUUGAGCUAUUUUUCCAAGUUGCUGAAAUUCCAUCAAAUGGGAGUGGGGGCCAAGCUGAUGGCCAGAGAUAAAAGCCCUGUGCUUUUGAAGCUUGACUUCACCAUUUCCAGAAUCUUGCUGAGGUUCCUGGCUGGCCUUGAACUUACUCAGUAGCCCAGACUGGCCUUGAACUUACCCUGCGUCUGCCUCCCAAGUACUGCAAGUUGGUGUCCAAAAGCCUAGUGGCCCUUUUGAGAAGCAGAAGAUGCAUCGGGCAAGUUAGUAACUGUAUGGAAA